AACUGGAGAUGGCCAUACUUCUCAGAUAUUCAAGGGCUGAGAGGACUUGAAAUAAAUGGACUCCAUCUUUGACCACCCUCUUGAGUCUCCUGCCUUCAACACUCCUCUACCUAAGACCAAGGAUUAUCCAGAGAUCCUCCAGAGAACUAGUUCAGACAUUACAUUUUGGCACUCAAUGUGGGGCCCUAGACUUGAGACUCUGAAGGUAAGGACCUACACUCAGCAGUUCAACUGACAUGAUCGGAAGCUCAGUGGAGAAGUCCCUGUGACCCAGAAAUAAGAGCCAUGGGUCCAGAUAUGGAUCAGGACAAAUGGAGAUGGCCCUGGAUUCAGUGGAGACCUUGAGAGUCCUUGGCCUAUUUAAGCUAAGUCUUUAACAGGUCUCAGUUUGACUGAAGGAAGCCUAAAAAAUAAGACUGGAUUACCAAGCAUCCCUCAUGACACAACAUGAGAGACACCCCAUAAUGGAAGAGAUUUCUGCAUGGCACAGUGCAAACAAAGGACAUUAGAUUUAGAAUCUCAGAACCUGGUAUUGUCACUUGAAAUCUGUGAGAUCAUUCAAUCUCUUAUGACUAAUUUCUUUGUCUAUAAAAUGAUGGGAUUGGGCUAAACGAUUUUUUUUUCUAGCUCUCAAAUAUAAUAUUGUAUAAUCCUUUGGGAAAGACCAAGAUUGGAAUAA
rnacentral:lncRNA from 1 species